AGAAACGCAGAGGACCCCUCAUGUCAAUCGAAAAUUUCAAAGUACAAAGUUUGAAAAACUUAUUUUUAAAAAAAUAAUGGGAAGGAGUAAAAACUAACGAUUCCAAAGGUAUGAAAAAGUCUUCAAAAACGACGGCAAUGUCCUUCGUGAGAAAAAUUAAAACACACCAGCAGAAUGAAACUGAAGUUUUGGGGAUUAUGGCGAUAGCUGCUGCAGAUAUAAAGAAGAUUGAGCGUACAGAUGAGGAACGGUGAUGCGCUGUGACGAUGAUUAUUGUAGACAACAAUAUGGACAUUUCAAAUCAGAAGGUCUUAAAUGUGGUGCUAAUUAUCGACCUUGGCUCUGUCACAAAGACUAGGCAUCUUGUCAUGUCUCAGGCAGGCCACUGAAGUGGCUAAUUGAGCAUUGAUAUCACUUAAUUGAAAUUAAAUAUGGCCCCUCAGUGGUUCGGAUCUUAAUUAUAUGACAUAUUUUGACUGGGCUACAUUGAAUCUCAUACUAUCCAGGACUCUCUGAUUGCCUCCAUCAAGGAGACUAUGACCAAUAUGCCAAGGUCGUCAACGUCUGCUCCUCCUUACGGGCACGGGCCAUAACCGCGAUUGAUACUAAAGGGGGAUGCUUCAAAUGAUCUCUUUUCAGCAUGUACAAUUAUAGCUAAUUAUUAUGUAAAUCAAUCGAAAAAUGUGGCCUCAGUGGCAAUUUAAAGAUUUUUGAAAGAUGCACUCUGUAUUAAAUUAAACCUUUAAAUAAACAUGUGUUAUUAACUACAAAUUCAA
rnacentral:lncRNA from 1 species